AUUGAACGCUAGCGGGAUGCUUUACACAUGCAAGUCGAACGAGUGGCGGACGGGUGAGUAAUAUAUCGGAACGUGCCCAGUAGCGGGGGAUAACUACUCGAAAGAGUGGCUAAUACCGCCUAACAUGGGAGCGGCCGAUAGCGGGUUAGCUCGUUGGUGGGGUAAAGGCUCACCAAGGCAACGAUCCGUAGCUGGUUUGAGAGGACGACCAGCCCCACUGGGACUGGGACACGGCCCAGCCUCCUACGGGAGGCGGCAGGGGGGAAUUUUGGACAAUGGGGGAAACCCUGAUCCAGCCAUCCCGGGUGUAUGUGAAGGCCUACGGGUUGUAAAGUACUUUUGGCAGAGAAGCGGUAUCUGCAGAAUAAGCACCGGCUAACUACGUGCCAGCAGCCGCGGUAAUUC
rnacentral:rRNA from 1 species